UACGUAGGGGGCGAGCGUUGUCCGGAAUGACUGGGCGUAAAGGGUGCGUAGGCGGCCCGAGAGGUCCUGGGUGAAAGGCCCCGGCUCAACCGGGGAGGGCCCCAGGAAACCGGCGGGCUAGAGGGCUGGAGAGGGCCGCGGAAUUCCCGGUGUAGCGGUGAAAUGCGUAGAUAUCUGGAAGAACACCGAUGGCGAAGGCAACCUCCUGGGCCUGAAUUGACACUGAAGCACGAAAGCGUGGGGAGCAAACAGG
rnacentral:rRNA from 1 species